rnacentral:rRNA from 1 species
GCAUAAAGAGUUCGUAGGCGUUUUGUUAAGUUGGAUGUUAAAUUUUGGAGCUCAACUUAAAAAAAGUAUCCAAAACUGGCAAACUGGAGACUGGUAGAGGUAAGUGGAAUUCUGCAUGUAGGGGUAAUAUCCGUAGAUAUGCAGAGGAACACCAAAAGCGAAGGCAGCUUACUGGACCAGUUCUGACGCUCAAGAACGAAAGCGUGGGUAGCGAACGGGAUUAGAUACCCCGGUAGUCCACGCCCUAAACGAUGGACACUAGGUAUUGGAGGUCUCGACCCCUUCAGUGCCGACGCAAAUGCAAUAAGUGUUCCGCCUGGGUAGUACGAGCGCAAGCUUAAAACUCAAAGGAAUAGACGGGGACCCACACAAGCGGUGGAGCAUCUGGUUUAAUUCGACAAUAAGCGAGGAACCUUACCAAGGCUUGACAUCCCGAGAAGAUCGCCGAAAGGUGAUUGUGCCGUUAGGAACUCGGUGACAGGUGCUGCAUGGUUGUCGUCAGCUCGUGCCUUGAGGUGUUCGGUUAAGUCCGUGAACGAGCGCAACCCUUGUCUCAAGUUGCAUAUUUCUUGAGAGACUGCCGGUUUCAAAUCGGAGGAAGGUAAGGAUGACGUCAAGUCAGCAUGGCCCUUAUGUCUUGGGCGACACAGGUGCUACAAUGGCCGGUACAAUGGGCAGCGAAGGAGCAAUCUGGAGCAAAUCCUCAAAACCGGUCCAAGUUCGAAUUGAAGGCUGCAACUCGCCUUCAUGAAGUUGGAAUCGCUAGUAACCGCAUAUCAGCCAUGGUGCGGUGAUCCGUUCCUGGGUCUUGUACUCACCGCCCGUCAAGUCAUGAAAGAUGGGGGUGCCCGAAGUACCCUUAG